rnacentral:RNase_P_RNA from 1 species
GGAGUCGGCCGGACAGUCGCGUCGCGCGCAAGCGCGUCGAGGAAAGUCCGGGCUCCACAGGGCAGAGUGCCAGGUAACGCCUGGGCGGCGCGAGCCGACGGCCAGUGCAACAGAAAGCAAACCGCCGAUGGCCCGCAAGGGCACAGGCAAGGGUGAAACGGUGCGGUAAGAGCGCACCGCGCGCACUCGGAGCAAGACCAAAUAGGGGAACGAUAACGCGGCCCGCGUUGUUCCCGGGUAGGUUGCUGGAGCCAGGCGGCGACGCCUGGCCGAGAGGAAUGACUGUCGCGCCGCAAGGCGUACAGAACCCGGCUUACAGGCCGACUCCACCU